rnacentral:tRNA from 1 species
GAGUUCGCGCAGGGCGCGGUGCAGGUCCGGGUUGGUGUGCACAGCCAUGGCGACGCCGCGCAUCAGCGCGUGGUUCUGCUCCAUGGUGCAGUCG